AAAAAGGUAAGCUAAGUAAAGCUGAUAGAUUCAUAAUCUAUUUAUAGAAAUUUCUCCUUUUUA
rnacentral:tRNA from 1 species